ACAGUGGUUGCUGAAUUAGAGUUUGACAGCGUAAAAUAAUCCACACGCCCGACACGAUCGAAGAGG
rnacentral:ncRNA from 1 species